rnacentral:lncRNA from 1 species
AUGCCAAUUAAGUCUAAUUUUAUUGAAAAAAAUCAGAUUAAAAAGAUAAAAUUUUUUAUGAGAUAAGGAUAUACUUUUUUAAGUCAAUUGGAUUCCUCUUUUGAGUUAAGGUAGAGCCUAUAUAAAGAAAAGGCCUCUUAGGGUUUCUAGUUAGUUAAAUUUUUAUGAGACAAAAACUCCCCCUCUCCCUUCUCCAUGCCUCCCCUCCUUCCUCUUCUCUUUCCCACACCCAAAGGUUGGGCGUUCCACCUUCCACACGCUA